rnacentral:rRNA from 1 species
GACGUAGGUGGCGAACGUUAUCCGGAAUUAUUGGGCGUAAAGGGUGCGUAGGUGGCCUGACAAGUUAUCAGUGGCAAAUCGGGGCUCAACCUCGUGGAAACUGGUAAUACUGUUCGGCUUGAGUACAGGAGAGGUUAAUGGAACUCCAUGUGUAGCGGUAAAAUGCGACGAUAUAUGGAUGAACACCAAUAAAGGCGAAGGCAGUUAACUAUUCUGUUGCUGACACUGAGGCACGAAAGCGUGGGGAGCAAAACGG